UAGAAAAAUAGGGGAAGGAAACAAACAAACAAACAGACAAAGAUAUUAACAGUAGCGUCAUCGUGUGGUUGUAAUGAAGAUGAAAUGAGUCAUAUACGCAGAGUGCUUUGCACAGUGCCUGGCACAUGGGUGUGCAGAGCUGUCAUCUAUCGACCCCAGUCCUGGAGCAGUUUGGGCCACCCUGAAAGACGAGCCCUGAUAGGAUUUCUUCCCCUGUUCCUUUGGACUCUUUAUUCUGUCUUGGGUGAACCAUGCAACUAGCUCUGGCCAAUGGGCUGCAGCAGUGACUGUUGGGCUGAAGCAUUGAGGGCACAAUUCUUUACGCUCCCUGGCUGGAGUCCAGGACACCAGAUUGAAUCUACCUAGAAUGCUGAGCCACCACCUGGAAAACAGUAACCCUGGAGACAGUCCCAGACCCAAAGCAGACUUUGAUGAGGAGAUCUGAAGUAUGGAGAGGCUAAGCAGCCCAUUCAGGUGCUGCAUCUGUGUUAAGCCAGGAUACACAGUAAGACUCCACUGAUGCUUUUAGUCUGUAUGUCCUGCUGCCUCCCCAGCACCAACGCCAUAAGGCAAGCCAUUUGGGAAGGAAACUGAGGGUUUUCAGUUACUUGUUGGAAGACUAACAAGAAUGGUGGGUGACGACUCCCAGGGGUGUAAAUCUCCCUGGCAACGCAGGAUAUGACUGCCAGGGAUGAAUCUGGACCCGGCAUCAUGGGAUUGAGAAUAUCUUCUUGACCAAAAG